CUCUUUAUCUUUCUUCCAGACUCCAUCGAACAUAUCAGUAAACUUAGCCGCCGUCACCAUUACAACCCCAUUGAUCGAUUUAGAUUCAAAACACUUGUUUAACCCUUUUUAUUGAUUCAUAUCAAAACAUACAUCAUAGAAGGAGACAGAAAAGGGACAUAGAGUACUUUCAGCGUUAAGAAGUUAAGAUAGAUCUAGUCGAUAUUCAAAUAUGUGUUUCUUCUAUUUUUUCUAUUUGGAUCUAUUAAGAUCAUUACUUGUACUGUUUGUAUGUGUAAUUCAUUUUACGGGUAAGACAACUAUUCCUCCUUUAAGAUGAAGAAAACUAUGGUCUCAUUGUCCAAGUGCCAACUUCAACUUAGAAAAUCGAUUCCAAAUCUGGAGCAACAACAGUUAGCAUGAAGAUUAGAAUCAAUUUUGUUGUCAAAAUUUAAUACUGUUUUAGUAGGUUAUGUAUAUAUUUUAAUCCUCUUACAGGUACUAACUUUAAUACUUCUCUUAAAUUUCAGAGGCAUCGUGAUCGUCAUGAGAUUUUAAGGCCUCAAGGGGAUACAUUGUCAGGUUCAAGGGACAACAAAAGCUUCGAGGGCAAAUGUUGCCAGUUUUAGGGGAAGACAGAAUCAAGCUAUACACAGAGAAAAUGAAACAAAUUGAGGAAGCCAACGCAAGUUUCAGGCAGCAUGCUUUCAAUAUGGUUCUUGAUCCAGCUGUUGCUCAAACUAACGAAGAUCCGGAAGAUGUUUAUGUUGCUCCUUUUUUUUAGUUGAAGUUACAUGAGUAAUUCAAUUAGCAGUUCAAAAGUAGUUCAAUUAGCAGCCAUGAGUGCAAUUACUGCUUGAGAUAUAUUGAUAUAAUAUUUUGUUUAUAUAGUUUUCCUUUCUAAUAUUAUGUUCGUAUUUUAUAUGACGAAUGCAAAAAGGAAUUGGUCA